UGUUGAGGGUAUCUGGGAGAUACAAGCUCAUGAAACUGUAGAGUUAUGGACAAUAAAUUGUUCUCACGUUUCAGGCGAAGGCACUGCGUCCUUUGGUUGGAUGUAAGAUUCACUUCAUACUUUGUCUUGAACUUCAAUUACUGAAGCUUUGUGCCAUUUUCUUGUUUGGCAGUGGUGGCCAUUUGUUUGAUUACUCAAGUGCGGUUGUGGCAUUUCCAUUGUUAGGAUAAAUGGAAUUCUGGUGCUAGGAUAAAUGGACUGGUUUGUUUCCUCUAAGAUGGAUAUUUUGCAGCCACAAGCCAGAGAAAAAGGUGGUAAAUGUUGGCACAAAAUGAAGGUCAUGUGAUUGCUAAGGAUCCGUCCGAACCACACGAAGAUUCGUGGAGUGUUGUUGCCCCUUCAGGCGACCUGAUGUUGGGCCGAGAGCCUUGGACGAAGAUAGGUCAUCGCCAUGAACGAGUCAACAUGUGUCUUUGCUAGAGUGGACGGACCGUGUUCUUAGUGACAUCUACUUCACUUUUUUUACUUAUCAAAAGGAUUGAACGAUUAAAAGCCUUUUAUCUAUGUUGAUAAAUUUAUUCUCUUAUAAAUUUUUGUGUUUAUUCGGUACAUUUGUAACAAACCAUGGUGUUCAAAAUAUUUGUACCUCGUGAUGUGUCUGCAGAAGAUGCGAGUUGAUAUGCACA